rnacentral:rRNA from 1 species
GACGAACGCUGGCGGCGCGCUUAACACAUGCAAGUCGAACGGACAGGCCCUGGUUGCAGGGUGCCCGAUUGGCGAACGGGUGAGUAACGCCUGGGUGAUCUGCCCCUUACUUUGGAAUUAGCCUUGUAAACUGAGGCUAAUUCUGGAUAGGACCAUACUGCAGGUGGUGUGGUGGCGAGAUUAGUUUCGGUAAGGGUUGAGAUCGCGGCCUAUCAGCUUGUUGGUGGGGUAAUGGCCUACCAAGGCGUCCACGCGGAGCCGGCCUGAGAGGGUGGACGGCCAAAUAGGCACUGGGCUACGGAACAGACUCCUACGGGAGGCAGCAGUGGGGAAAUGUGCACAAUUGCCCAAAGCCUGAUGCAGCGACGCGGCGGGGGCGAGGGAGGCAUUAGGGUUGUAAGCUCCUUUAAGUCUUGAAGCAGCGCUGGUAGUGACGGUAGUGGUAGAAGAAGCACCGGCUAACUACGUG